CACCCGUUCCCAUACCGAACACGGAAGUUAAGCUCUUCAGCGCCGAUGGUAGUCGGGGGUUUCCCCCUGUGAGAGUAGGACGCCGCCAAGC
rnacentral:rRNA from 7 species